UGGGGAAUAUUGGACAAUGGGCGCAAGCCUGAUCCAGCCAUGCCGCGUGAGUGAAGAAGGUCUUCGGAUUGUAAAGCUCUUUUGGCGGGGACGAUAAUGACGGUACCCGCAGAAUAAGCCCCGGCUAACUUCGUGCCAGCAGCCGCGGUAAUACGAAGGGGGCUAGCGUUGUUCGGAAUCACUGGGCGUAAAGCGCACGUAGGCGGACUUUCAAGUCAGGGGUGAAAUCCCGGGGCUCAACCUCGGAACUGCCUUUGAUACUGUUGGUCUCGAGCCCGGAAGAGGUGGGUGGAAUUCCUAGUGUAGAGGUGAAAUUCGUAGAUAUUAGGAAGAACACCAGUGGCGAAGGCGGCCCACUGGUCCGGUGCUGACGCUGAGGUGCGAAAGCGUGGGGAGCAAACA
rnacentral:rRNA from 1 species